GACGAACGCUGGCGGCGUGCUUAACACAUGCAAGUCGAGCGGUAAGGCCCUUUCGGGGGUACGACGAGCGGCGAACGGGUGAGUAACACGUGGGUGACCUGCCCUCAGCUCUGGGAUAAGCCUGGGAAACCGGGUCUAAUACUGGAUAUGACUCCAUGACGCAUGUUGUGGGGUGGAAAGCCUUGUGCGGCUGAGGAUGGGCCCGCGGCCUAUCAGCUUGUUGGUGGGGUGANGGCCUACCAAGGCGACGACGGGUAGCCGGCCUGAGAGGGCGACCGGCCACACUGGGACUGAGACACGGCCCAGACUCCUACGGGAGGCAGCAGUGGGGAACCUUGCGCAAUGGGCGAAAGCCUGACGCAGCGACGCCGCGUGAGGGAUGACGGCCU
rnacentral:rRNA from 1 species